UACGGGGGGAGCAAGCGUUGUUCGGAUUUACUGGGCGUAAAGGGCGCGUAGGCGGCGUAACAAGUCACUUGUGAAAUCUCCGGGCUUAACCCGGAGCGGCCAAGUGAUACUGUUGUGCUAGAGUGCGGAAGGGGCUACUGGAAUUCUCGGUGUAGCGGUGAAAUGCGUAGAUAUCUGGAGGAAUACCGGUGGCGAAGGCGGCAUCCUGGACCGGCAUUGACGCUGAGUGAGCGAAAGCCAGGGGAGCAAACGGG
rnacentral:rRNA from 1 species